AGUGGCGAACGGGUGAGUAACACGUGGGCAACCUGCCCUUCACUUCGGGAUAACUCAGGGAAACCUGAGCUAAUACCGGAUACUCCUGCGAGAUCGCAUGGUCUUGCGGGGAAAGUUCCGGCGGUGAGGGAUGGGCCCGCGCCCCAUUAGCUUGUUGGUGAGGUAACGGCUCACCAAGGCAACGAUGGGUAGCCGAGCUGAGAGGCUGAUCGGCCACACUGGGACUGAGACACGGCCCAGACUCCUACGGGAGGCAGCAGUGGGGAAUCUUGCGCAAUGGGCGAAAGCCUGACGCAGCAACGCCGCGUGCGGGAUGAAGGCCUUCGGGUUGUAAACCGCUUUCAGCAGGGACGAAUCUGACUGUACCUGCAGAAGAAGCCCCGGCUAACUACGUGCCAGCAGCCGCGGUAAUACGUAGGGGGCAAGCGUUAUCCGGAUUCAUUGGGCGUAAAGCGCGCGUAGGCGGCUUGUUAAGUCAGGUGUGAAAACCGGGGGCUCAACCCGCGGCCUGCACCUGAAACUGGCAGGCUUGAGUCUGGUAGAGGGAAAUGGAAUUCCGAGUGUAGCGGUGAAAUGCGCAGAUAUUCGGAAGAACACCAGUGGCGAAGGCAGUUUCCUGGGCCACGACUGACGCUGAGGCGCGAAAGCUAGGGGAGCGAACAGGAUUAGAUACCCUGGUAGUCCUAGCCGUAAACGAUGG
rnacentral:rRNA from 1 species